UGCAGUUAGUUUUUUUUUUUUUUUUUUUUUUUUUUUUUUUUUUUUUUU
rnacentral:ribozyme from 1 species